rnacentral:rRNA from 1 species
GCUAGCGGCGGCCUAACACAUGCAAGUCGAGGGGCAGCACAGAAAUAGCUUGCUAUUUGGGUGGCGCACCGUGCGCACGGGUUGCGUAACGCGUAUGCAACCUACCUUAUACUGGGGUAUAGCCCGGAGAAAUUCGGAUUAAUCCCCCAUGGUAUUAUUGGAUCGCAUGGUUUGAUAAUUAAAGAUUACGGUAUAAGAUGGGCAUGCGUCCUAUUAGCUAGAUGGUAAGGUAACGGCUUACCAUGGCUACGACAGGUAGGGGGCCUGAGAGGGUGGUCCCCCACACUGGUACUGAGACACGGANCCAACNNNNUACGGGAGGCAGCAGUGAGGAAUAUUGGUCAAUGGGCGCAAGCCUGAACCAGCCAUGCCGCGUGCAGGAAGAAUGCCCUAUGGGUUGUAAACUGCUUUUAUUUAGGAAUAAACUCUUGUACGUGUACAAGCCUGAAGGUACUAAAUGAAUAAGCACCGGCUAACUCCGUGCCAGCAGCCGCGGUAAUACGGAGGGUGCAAGCGUUAUCCGGAAUCAUUGGGUUUAAAGGGUCCGCAGGCGGAUUUAUAAGUCAGUGGUGAAAUCCUAUCGCUUAACGAUAGAACUGCCAUUGAUACUGUUAAGUCUUGAAUUCGGUCGAAGUGGGCGGAAUGUGUAGUGUAGCGGUGAANUGCAUAGAUAUUACACAGAACACCGAUAGCGAAGGCAGCUCACUUAGGNCCUGGGAUUGGACGCUCAGGGACGAAAGCGUGGGGAUCNAACAGGAUUAGAUACCCUGGUAGUCCACGCUG